rnacentral:lncRNA from 1 species
GCAACAUUUUCUGAAAAAAUAUGCCUAAAAAUAUGCCUAUUCAAAAUUUGCUUUCAGUUUGGACUUUUUACUAAAAUUAGAUUAAAGCCAUCUAAAUGUUACUCCAGAUACCAGACAGAUGAUGGCGUGGUUGUGCUGUUGGGUGUGGUCAUCAGGAGAAUGACUGGCACAAGAACCUGUAAUAAUCCUGCACCUGACAGCUGCGGAGUAAUCUGUCUUGGCUCCUCCUCUCAGGGGCUGUCCACACGGGCGAAAACGAUCUUUUUAUUCUCCGUCUUCCUCGUCAUCGUUUUAAGAAUAUUUGCGUCCAUACGGAUCCACUGAAAACGACCGAAAACGCUGUAGUUCAUAUUCCAGGCCUCUAGGUGGCGCUUGACAUUCACCAAAGAGACGGGGCAUGCGCAUUAAGCUUGGUGGGAGACAGGCGCAUUUGUCCCACCCAAAAUUAUACCACGGAGGAGAAAAAUAUUUUGUUUUGAAAUCUUUAACUCACUUGCUUUUAUUUUGAAAGCGUAACAAAGCCUCUUGUCACCGGCCGCCCGUGUUGCCAGGUGUACGAUAUCGUAUUUGUACGAUAAUUUUGCCCUCUGUACGAUGUACGAUCAAUAAUCCCCAAAAAAGCCAAAUAUACGAUAAUUUGACCAUUCCGUGAAUGUGUGGUUGUAAACGGUUGUAAUCGAGAGAUCAGCCUGUCGCGACUGUCUGUCGGAGGUUUUUUGUGAACCCUGAAGGCAUCUGUUUCCAUGUGACAAGUUUCCAGCCAAUCGUGCUUUUCUAAAUGUGAGCUACGAGUGACGUGCAUGCGUUUGCCUCAGAACAACGGUCAUGAUUGGCUGAAUAGUCCGCUGCGCCCGCCCCAUGAGUGAGGAAAAGAAAAAAGCAAAAGAAAAGAAGAAGCAGAGCCGGUCUGGAAGAAAGCGCGGAAAAUGAGAGAACCUGUGGAAGAGGGAGGAGGAGGAGGAGGAGGAGAGUUUAAGAAGACGGCGGGGCAGAGUAGAAAAAACUGCCAAAGGCGGAGACGUGACAUGACUGACGCAGACCGGACAGCUUAUGAAGACCGAGGCGAUCAGGGCUACACACCACUUAGUUUUUUGUCAGCAUUAGAUGUUGGGGUUAACUCGGAAAAAAAACAUGUACCCCUUGGCCUGUUGUUCAUCAGUUAUUUAUUUUUUAUUAUUUAUUGUUAUUCUGGUUACCUCUUUUCCAUGUUAUUAUAUAGCCAGGUUAUAUAUGCACUUUAUUUUAAGUUAUAA